UACGUAGGGACCAAGCGUUGUUCGGAUUUACUGGGCGUAAAGGGCGCGUAGGCGGCAAUUCAAGUCAUCUGUGAGAUCUCCGGGCUUAACUCGGAAUGGUCAGGUGAUACUGCUUUGCUAGAGUGCAGAAGGGGCAAUCGGAAUUCUUGGUGUAGCGGUGAAAUGCGUAGAUAUCAAGAGGAACACCUGAGGUGAAGACGGGUUGCUGGGCUGACACUGACGCUGAGGCGCGAAAGCUAGGGGAGCAAACAGG
rnacentral:rRNA from 1 species